rnacentral:lncRNA from 1 species
CACACACACCCGACAACCAUGCCCAAGUGCUAGUUAUGUGACCAAGCUGUAACUCGUCCAAUACCGUGGACACGGCUACCCGGAUAGGUUUUAACUCUGCAGAGGUUGUACACUUUUCCCACAAGUAGGGUACCGCAGCACGAUCACCUUAGUGCCGGUGCGGAUCCUAACAAAGCCAUUACCCACCUUAGCUGAGACUGGCUAGCC